GACGAACGCUGGCGGCGUGCUUAACACAUGCAAGUCGAACGGAAAGGCCCGGCUUUUGUGGCGUGCUCGAUUGGCGAACGGGUGAGUAACACGUGAGUAACCUGCCCUUGACUUUGGGGUAACUUCAGGAAACUGGGGCUCAUACCGGAUAGGAUCUCCUGCUGCAUGGUGUGGGUUGGAAAGUUUCGGCGGUUGUGGAUGGACUCGCGGCUUAUCAGCUUGUUGGUGUGGUAGUUGCUUACCAAGGCUUUGACGGCUAGCCGGCCUGAGAGGGUGACCGGCGACAUGGGGCCUGAGAUAGGCACCAGAAUCCUAUGGGAGGCAGUAGGCGGGAAUAUUGCACAACGGGCGGAAGUCUGAUGCAGAAAUGCCGCGUGCGGGAUGACGGCCUUCGGGUGGUAAACAGAUUUGGAAUGUGACGAAGAGAGAGUGACGGUAAUGGGUAAAGAAGCACCGGCUAACUACGUG
rnacentral:rRNA from 1 species